ACUGCAGGUAGGAACUGUCCUGAAGACAGGCCUCUUCUGAGGGCGCAGGAGCGGGAGGAGACUGCCUUAUUAAACAAGCUCUCACUUUCGUGCUCUGAGAUUUUCGUGGGGCCCGUGCGAAUCGGCACACAGCUCCACUUCCCGCGGGAAAGCCCUACGGAGGCCUGGCGGGGGACCACCAGCCCAGCUGGAGCCAAGCAAUGCCCAGCAGCAGAUGGCGCUGUCUCUGAAGACUCCUCUGAGGUGUCAUCAGG
rnacentral:lncRNA from 1 species